AUGAUGAUGGAUUGUGAGUUAUUUGAAGAUGAUGAUGAUAAAUAAUAAUAAUAAUAAUAAUAAUAAUAAUAAUAAUAAUAAUAAUAAUAAUAAUAAUAAUAAUAAUAAUAAAUAUAGGAUAAGAUUACCAAAAUACCCUUACCUAUAAGGGUCAAACUACCGUUGACUGACGCCGGGGGGUAAAGUUGCGACAUAACAGCAAACGUUGGGGCGUAAAAUUGCAAUUAUUUCCUUAGGGGGUAGACAUGCCAAUUGCCCUAAACCACAGGAGGGUAAACUUUGGUGACUCCAUCCUUCAAAACCGUUCACUCGCUUUUUGGAAAUGUUCGCAAACCGUGAGCUCAUACUUUACCCAUUUUACGCUUUAAACACUAUUUGAGUUGCAACAUGUAUCCGUAUUAAAAUCACAAUCACAUACAAUCAAUCUUAUGCAAACACUCAAUCCUUAAACAUGCUUGCUUGUUAUGCUACUUGUUUGUAGUUUGUACCCCAACGGCCGACUAACACCUAACAAUUCUUACAGCAUGUUUUACUUAAUUAGUGUUCUCAGUUGUAGUUGUUUUAAAAUCAAAGUUUUACUUAAUUAGUGUUCCCAAUUGUUUGAUUGAUUAAACCUCAAACAGAAACUACAUAAGGCGAGCAUCUAGAUGAUGAGCAAUUAGAGCCCGAUCAUGUUCAUACUUCGUGACCUUAUUAACCACUACUAGCAGACAUUCCUCUA